rnacentral:pre_miRNA from 1 species
UUUCUACUCCCUCCAUCCGAAAAUACUUUUCAUCAAAAUGGAUAAAAAGAGAUGUAUCUAAAACUAAAAUACGUCUAGAUACAUUUCCUUUUAUCCAUUUUGAUGACAAAUAUUUUCGGACGAAGGGAGUAUUUU